CGCGAACGCUGGCGGCAGGCUUAACACAUGCAAGUCGAACGGGCGUAGCAAUACGUCAGUGGCAGACGGGUGAGUAACGCGUGGGAACGUGCCUUUUGGUUCGGAACAACUGAGGGAAACUUCAGCUAAUACCGGAUAAGCCCUUACGGGGAAAGAUUUAUCGCCAAAAGAUCGGCCCGCGUCUGAUUAGCUAGUUGGUGAGGUAAUGGCUCACCAAGGCGACGAUCAGUAGCNGGUCUGAGAGGAUGAUCAGCCACACUGGGACUGAGACACGGCCCAGACUCCUACGGGAGGCAGCAGUGGGGAAUAUUGGACAAUGGGCGCAAGCCUGAUCCAGCCAUGCCGCGUGAGUGAUGAAGGCCUUAGGGUCGUAAAGCUCUUUGUGCGGGAAGAUAAUGACGGUACCGCAAGAAUAA
rnacentral:rRNA from 1 species